AGGCGAAAAGAACCCCGGCGAGGGGAGUGAAAAAGAACCUGAAACCGUGUACGUACAAGCAGUGGGAGCACAGGUUUACCUGUGUGACUGCGUACCUUUUGUAUAAUGGGUCAGCGACUUAUAUUCUGUAGCAAGGUUAACCGUAUAGGGGAGCCGGAGGGAAACCGAGUCUUAAUUGGGCGUUAAGUUGCAGGGUAUAGACCCGAAACCCGGUGAUCUAGCCAUGGGCAGGUUGAAGGUUGGGUAACACUAACUGGAGGACCGAACCGACUAAUGUUGAAAAAUUAGCGGAUGACCUGUGGCUGGGGGUGAAAGGCCAAUCAAACCGGGAGAUAGCUGGUUCUCCCCGAAAGCUAUUUAGGUAGCGCCUCGUGAAUUCAUCUCCGGGGGUAGAGCACUGUUUCGGCUAGGGGGCCAUCCCGGCUUACCAACCCGAUGCAAACUGCGAAUACCGGAGAAUGUUAUCACGGGAGACACACGGCGGGUGCUAACGUCCGUCGUGAAGAGGGAAACAACCCAGACCGCCAGCUAAGGUCCCAAAGUCAUGGUUAAGUGGGAAACGAUGUGGGAAGGCCCAGACAGCCAGGAUGUUGGCUUAGAAGCAGCCAUCAUUUAAAGAAAGCGUAAUAGCUCACUGGUCGAGUCGGCCUGCGCGGAAGAUGUAACGGGGCUAAACCAUGCACCGAAGCUGCGGCAGCGACACUGUGUGUUGUUGGGUAGGGGAGCGUUCUGUAAGCCUGUGAAGGUGUGUCGUGAGGCAUGCUGGAGGUAUCAGAAGUGCGAAUGCUGACAUAAGUAACGAUAAAGCGGGUGAAAAGCCCGCUCGCCGGAAGACCAAGGGUUCCUGUCCAACGUUAAUCGGGGCAGGGUGAGUCGACCCCUAAGGCGAGGCCGAAAGGCGUAGUCGAUGGGAAACGGGUUAAUAUUCCCGUACUUGGUGUUACUGCGAAGGGGGGACGGAGAAGGCUAUGUUGGCCGGGCGACGGUUGUCCCGGUUUAAGCGUGUAGGUGUGUGUUCCAGGUAAAUCCGGUUCACUUUAACACUGAGGCGUGACGACGAGGCACUACGGUGCUGAAGCAACAAAUGCCCUGCUUCCAGGAAAAGCCUCUAAGCAUCAGGUAACAUCAAAUCGUACCCCAAACCGACACAGGUGGUCAGGUAGAGAAUACCAAGGCGCUUGAGAGAACUCGGGUGAAGGAACUAGGCAAAAUGGUGCCGUAACUUCGGGAGAAGGCACGCUGACACGUAGGUGAAGUGAUUUACUCAUGGAGCUGAAGUCAGUCGAAGAUACCAGCUGGCUGCAACUGUUUAUUAAAAACACAGCACUGUGCAAACACGAAAGUGGACGUAUACGGUGUGACGCCUGCCCGGUGCCGGAAGGUUAAUUGAUGGGGUCAGCGCAAGCGAAGCUCCUGAUCGAAGCCCCGGUAAACGGCGGCCGUAACUAUAACGGUCCUAAGGUAGCGAAAUUCCUUGUCGGGUAAGUUCCGACCUGCACGAAUGGCGUAAUGAUGGCCAGGCUGUCUCCACCCGAGACUCAGUGAAAUUGAACUCGCUGUGAAGAUGCAGUGUACCCGCGGCAAGACGGAAAGACCCCGUGAACCUUUACUAUAGCUUGACACUGAACAUUGAGCCUUGAUGUGUAGGAUAGGUGGGAG
rnacentral:rRNA from 1 species